CAGCAGCAGCCGCGGGAAUACGUAGGUGGCAAGCGUUGUCCGGAAUUAUUGGGCGUAAAGGGCUCGCAGGCGGUUUCUUAAGUCUGAUGUGAAAGCCCCCGGCUCAACCGGGGAGGGUCAUUGGAAACUAGGAAACUUGAGUGCAGAAGAGGAGAGUGGAAUUCCACGUGUAGCGGUGAAAUGCGUAGAGAUGUGGAGGAACACCAGUGGCGAAGGCGACUCUCUGGUCUGUAACUGACGCUGAGGAGCGAAAGCGUGGGGAGCGAACAGGAUUAGAUACCCGCGUAGUCCCUGUCUCUUAUAC
rnacentral:rRNA from 1 species